CUGCUCUCACCCACAGACAAUCACCGUCUCUCAAUGGACAACAUCAGCAAGGGAAAUAUCUACAAAGAGAGCGAGAGACAUAAGGACAGAGGGAGAUUUGAGGGAGGAUGGGAGGAGCUGAAAAGAAGGGUAAGAAAGAUCAGCGAGCGGGUCUUUCCGGGCUUAAGGCCGCAGGGAGGACUUGUUAAUUUGGGCGCGAGAGCAGAGUUACAGUAGGAUGUGAGACGCAGGGAGGGAGGACGUACUCGCAGUAAAUGUGCGAAGCAGAGACGGUAUCUGACACGGGGAAUCCACUCAUUUCCGUCCGCCUUUUGCUCAGCGUCUGCUCUCUCCGGCGCGCGGCGCCACCCACAGGAUCUCAGACCCGGAGCUCAAUUACUUGUCUACCCGAAACAGCUACAGUCAGAUGAGAGACGAUUUCUAUGCCUCUCUGUGUAACAUGACAAUAGUCAUAUACAGGGUUGCGAUGCAAAAUGGCGGAUUAUUCUGUGUGUUGGCUAGGUGCUAUUAUGGUAAGCUGAUAUGUGUCUGUUACGGUGUCAUUCUGCUGUUGCAGUAAGCUGGUGUGGAGACAUUAAGAUGGCAGCGACCAGGACUGUUUGACGUUGAAAGCGUCACACGAGCUUUUCAGGCCUUGUGCUUUGGGUUCUUUUCUAAAACCAGUGAGGUUUUAUAUCUUUGUGCACAUUCGUGUGAGUUUUACGGUUUGUAUGCUAAAGAUCUGGACAGAGAGAAUAAGGGGGAUGUGGAGGGAGAGUUUCUUUUUCUUCCCGGUUUUUCACAGACAAAUGAAAGGAGUAUUUGCUUUAAACAGAUUUUCACAUGGAUUUUAUGUCCUCCAAAAAAAAAAGGCUUGAGCUUCCUGCUGCUGCUGAUGACUUGCUGACCGUGUAUUCAUGAGAGUAAUGAAUACGAAAGAAGGUUCAACUACAGCUGUAUUUUUGCAACAAAUGUAUUUUCAAAAAUCCAAUAUUAACUCACAUAUUGCUAUUAUUGAUCUCUGGAUUUGAGAGCUACACCAAGACCCACUAAGCCUCGGGAUCAGUGUCUCUGUUAACCAAGUGUAAGAUGGGGUUGGUGGCUCCAUAAAUUCUGAUUUGUGAAUGUGUCCCCCUGCGGUUUCGACUUCUUUCCUCCCUGUCAGGAGUGAGCCAGGAGCAGAGGAUUAGAGCCUACCUCAGCACUAGAAUGCCUGGUGGCUGCUAUUGCACAGCUCCCACCACCUCCCAAAUACCCCAGCUGGGGGUUUUAGUAUCGAGAGGCAGUGGGCCACACAACUGUCGACUUUGCACUUCAUUUAUGAUAAACUUAAGUCGGCCUUAAUCUCCGCCCGUCGCCGUGGUUUGAACCAGUGUUUGGAACAACAUGUUUAUCUGGCGGGGAAGGCGGGCGGAUUGGGAGCCCAGGGAAAGGCACCCGUUCACUGAGAUAAACCAGAACAUCUCCUCUCCCUCCGCGCGGAAACUCGGUGUGUAGGGACGUAACUGGGAUUUGUGGGUCCUAGAACCUAUUUUUUGAUUCAGCGAUAAGUUCCAGGUUUUGGGUGCGACAGAAGGCAACAAUAUAAAUGUCAAGAAUAUUUUAAUAAACAAACCUGUGUCUAUUGGUAAUUGAGAUUUAAUUAUUGUACAAUCUGUGAACUUCCUCAUACAGAGACGCACAGCACCCAGACAGACUGGUGACAAACUUCAAAUGAGGCUUUCAGCUCAACGCUUCGGUCGAGUGACUCUCAUCGGCCUGCGUGAGCAGCAGGCUCAUCUGUUUUUUUUUAGUGAAAAGUCUCCUAUGAACUCACUACCUGCAGACGGGAUAAAGAUGGCAACAAGUUGCUGAACUUAGAGAAGCAUUUAUCAGCGGAAGAUUCGGUUAUUUCCCUUGGUAGUUAAUCGAGGCGAGACCAGAGGUAGAAGCAGACUGAAACAGUCAUCAGGAAGCCAGAAACACCACUACAAAUUAAUGGUAACGUUGCAAAGUGGUUGCUGCUUGUCUAAGUAAGUAAAUGCGAUUAAUGAUGAUGAAUUAACCACUGCAAUAAAUAAAUACUUCCUCCUUCGUCGGUCUUGGAUUUUGGAGUUGAUCGACUUCCUGUUUAAUCAGAUGUUUUCUAAAAGCUUUUCUUUAUCUACGGUUGUACACCGAGAUAACGCUCUCUGGUAAUAUCACCGUAUUUUAUUCACCGCUGGUUCCACUGCCUCCAAGUGGCUAAUAAUAAUCUAAUAUUACUUCAAACAGCCCGAUAAACCUUAGAACAAUAAGGAUGACGGACAGGCAAGCAAAUAAAUCAAAAACAACUCAUGACUCACCAGUGACUUGAGAAUAAUGUGUUUCAAAAUACAAGGUUACUGGAACUAGUUCUCUAUUUAAUUGUUGUGUGUGUGUGUGUGUGUGUG
ensembl:lncRNA